rnacentral:rRNA from 1 species
GAUGAACGCUAGCGGGAGGCCUAACACAUGCAAGCCGAGCGGUAUUUGUUCUUCGGAACAGAGAGAGCGGCGCACGGGUGCGGAACACGUGUGCAACCUGCCUUUAUCUGGGGGAUAGCCUUUCGAAAGGAAGAUUAAUACCCCAUAAUAUAUUGAGUGGCAUCAUUUGAUAUUGAAAACUCCGGUGGAUAGAGAUGGGCACGCGCAAGAUUAGAUAGUUGGUGAGGUAACGGCUCACCAAGUCAAUGAUCUUUAGGGGGCCUGAGAGGGUGAUCCCCCACACUGGUACUGAGACACGGACCAG